UACGGAGGGUGCAAGCGUUAUUCGGAAUUACUGGGCGUAAAGCGCACGUAGGCGGCCUUGUAAGUCAGGGGUGAAAUCCCACGGCUCAACCGUGGAACUGCCUUUGAAACUGCAGGGCUUGAAUCCUGGAGAGGGUGGCGGAAUUCCUGGUGUAGGAGUGAAAUCCGUAGAUAUCAGGAGGAACACCGGUGGCGAAGGCGGCCACCUGGACAGGCAUUGACGCUGAGGUGCGAAAGUGUGGGGAGCAAACAGG
rnacentral:rRNA from 1 species